GUUCUAGGUUCUAAAUGUCGUUCCUGUGGGAACUCUCAGGAGUUCUGUCUCAACUCUAGAGAGAAUAAAAAACCUUAGGACCAAAUUGACCAUCAUACAGAAACUGUUAAGCAAGUGCCAUCAAGGCCAGCAGUACCCGUAUUAUAUGUCCAGAGAAGAGCCAGGCCAGAUGGGAACUGCGUGAAAGCAAC